UACGUGGGGCGCAAGCGUUGUCCGGAAUUAUUGGGCGUAAAGAGCUCGUAGGCGGUUUGUCGCGUCUGCUGUGAAAACCUAAGGCUCAACCUUGGGCUUGCAGUGGGUACGGGCAGACUAGAGUGCGGUAGGGGUGACUGGAAUUCCUGGUGUAGCGGUGGAAUGCGCAGAUAUCAGGAGGAACACCGAUGGCGAAGGCAGGUCACUGGGCCGCAACUGACGCUGAGGAGCGAAAGCAUGGGGAGCGAACAGG
rnacentral:rRNA from 1 species